rnacentral:rRNA from 1 species
CCUACGGGAGGCAGCAGUGAGGAAUAUUGGUCAAUGGGCGAGAGCCUGAACCAGCCAUCCCGCGUGCAGGAUGACGGCCCUAUGGGUUGUAAACUGCUUUUCUACGCCAAGAAACGGCUCUACGUGUAGGGCACUGACGGUAGCGUAGGAAUAAGCAUCGGCUAACUCCGUGCCAGCAGCCGCGGUAA